GACGAACGCUGGCGGCGUGCUUAACACAGGCAAGACGAACGAUGAAGCCGGAGCUUGCUCCGGUGGAUUAAUGGCGAACGGGUGAGUAACACGUGAGCAAUCUGCCCUUGACUCUGGGAUAACUGCGGGAAACUGUAGCUAAUACCGGAUACGACACCUUGGGGCAUCCCAGGGUGUGGAAAGAAUUUCGGUCAAGGAUGAGCUCGCGGCCUAUCAGCUAGUUGGCGAGGUAAUGGCUCACCAAGGCGACGACGGGUAGCCGGCCUGAGAGGGUAACCGGCCACACUGGAACUGAGACACGGUCCAGACUCCUACGGGAGGCAGCAGUGGGGAAUAUUGCACAAUGGGCGAAAGCCUGAUGCAGCAACGCCGCGUGAGGGAUGAAGGCCUUCGGGUUGUAAACCUCUUUUAGCAGGGAAGAAGCGAAAGUGACGGUACCUGCAGAAAAAGCACCGGCUAACUACGUGCCAGCCGCCGCAGUAA
rnacentral:rRNA from 1 species